AAUGAAACUAAAAAGAUCAGCAUCGAAUGUAUAGUAAUGUCUAGUGAAGGCGUAAAAGUGG
rnacentral:sRNA from 1 species